GAAUGGUGCAGGACUCCCCAGGAGAGGCCAGUCCUUGCUGAGCCCAUUCUGCAAGCCACAUUCCUUCCCAAAUGAUCCAAACCUUGUCCAGACCCUCUCAAAGAGCCAUUCCAAGCUUUCUGAACACUCUGCAACUGUGCAGAAGGCCAGAUCAGAGGCUUUUGUGCACUACCAGGGAGAUGCCUUGGCUGAUCCGGAACACUUGGCACAGCUCUGCCACAAGUGCAAUUAUUGGCAGCAUCCGCUACAGAAAAAGUGUGAUGAAGUGUAAAGAAGUAUGCGACGUGGAUGUGGCAGAGCUGUCACACAGAGAGGACUAUGACUAUCAGAGAAGAUGACUCUCCGACUACCUUCUAUCUUCCUGUACAAACACCUGUCCCAAACCAUUCUCCCUUGGAAACUUCAAGAAGUGGUAAAGUGGUGUGCUCCAUCUUGAUGCACACCUGAGUAGGAUGGGCAUAUAUGGCCCACACUGAAAUGUGGAGGUGGAUUUUCCUAGAGCGGGUGGAUCACCUCUGACCUAUAGUUAAGGACAAAGCUUAUUUCUAGGAAUAGGAUUUUUUUUUAACUGAAAAAGCACAUCUUCACCAAAAUCCAUAUUUAAUCUAAGAAAACUGCACCUAGAGAGCCCUUCCAUCAGUUAUAUAUUAUUCUCAUCAAAUUGCAGCCACAAAGAAAAGCCUAGGUAGGAAGAGCCUAGCCAGGCAGCUGAGGCCAGAAGGUGACAAAAACAUCCCUGCCAAGAAAAGAGAAAAUAUUUGCAUAAAUGUUUGCACAACUUGGUGUUGCCCAUCACUCCUUGCACUCUUCCUGGUGUCUGUGGUUACCUGUAAUCUAUUUCCUCUUCUCUCCGUUAACAAGUCAAAAUAUCAUCAGCGUGGCUCUGUGUACCAGUUGACUUUUACAGUUGAAUAGUCUCUGUGUCUGAGAGUGAAAAUGUCAGAUUCUCUGCCCUUAUUCUCUCCCACAUACCAUAGCCCUUUCUGCCUAGGGUUCUUGAUUGUUGGGGUUCUUCUGCAUUCUUCCAGGACAUUGAAGUUCUAUGGUUGUGGACGUUUUCAGGAGUUGUCUUGGAAGGAAAAGUUGGAAUCUAAUGUGCAUGGUAUUUAUCAGGGGUUGAUACCUAUGGAAGGGAGGGGAAAAAAACAAGAUAAGACAGAGAAAGAAACAGGACUGUGGUGAGGGUAAGAGGUCAGACAAAGACUUACCAACCCAGUGGGAAGUUGUGAAGUAAAUAUAGCCCAUCAAUGUUGUCAUAUAUUGACCAACUUCUCCUGGGUUGCCAGAUUUUCCUUGUUUUAGCACUGAAGAUCUCAUAUUCUGUACGUCCUGUCAUCCUGGGCAAAGCAGGACAACUGGUUGCCCUAGCACCUGUCUCAUAUUGGGCUUUGUGUCUCACUGAGGUUCAUAUUUUGACGCCGAGGCUGACUUGAAGGAACUGCGGGUAGAAGCUGUCUGCUUACCCCAUUACAGAAACUGAACAGCCAGCCCUUGCCAGAAGGGAGGUCUGAGUGCUGCAUCCCUGGUUCCACCACAGGGAGGUAGGAUGCUGCAGGACCCGAAGGACCUAGCUCUCUUCCUUUUUUUUCCUCUUGUCUCUGGUCCUCCUGCCGCUUUGUUUGACAAUAAGCAUGGCCUUUGGAGAUAGGCAUGAAUUUAAAUCCUAGGUGGGCCAAUCACUAGUUAUGCAACCUUGGGCAAGGCCAACUUCUGAAGCCCCAGUUUCCCAUCUUGUGGGUUAAUAGUAGAAAUUCAGUGAGGUCAUAUACGUGUAGAAUCAGCACAAAGUAGGUCUUGGAUAAGGAUGAGCCCAUGUUAUUUUUAAGGGGAAAAUCUCCCACCCUGGAAAAUGGCAGAGAAAAGUACCUCAAGCAGCCCCCACUCUGAGCAGCUUCCUGCCUCCCCGCCUGCCCUUUCAUCCCCUUAUUAAAGGUCCCUCUCACUUUCCCCACCCACUGAAGAGUUUCCACGACUGUGUAAUCCCAUGAAAACAGCAGCCAUCCCCACAUUACAACCAGGAAUUCUGAAAUAUAUGAAAUACACAGUGGCAGCCAGAACAGAGUGGCUUUUACUUAGGACUGCUGGCUCUGGUAAAAAUCUGAGUCAAAGAAGGAAUAGAAGGCAUCAACAGCCUGUGUUCUUUGAGGUCCCUAUAAUUCUGAACUGUGGGCAAAGAAAGGGUAAUGCUGACUGAGCUUGAAAAGGUGCAGUGGAAGGCAAACAAAUAAAUGAUUUAAGGUUUUGGAAGAAAGACUUUUGAAGAAAGCUUGACCUUAACCUUUGGAGCUUAGAGCAAAGCUCCACUGAGUGAAGGUGGGUUGCAGUAGUAAAUUGGUCUGGACAAAACACAUAGAGAGUCAUUAUGAGAAGAGAAAACCCUCCUCACCUUGUUGGGGCAGUGACUGCUGAUAAGACACGUCCUGAAAGGGCAGCCUGCUGAGAAGAAUCGAGCUAAAUUCAAGGACAAUAGCAAUCCUCAUUAGGGCCAAAAGCCAGGGGCUGUGAUAUGCAGGUCAGCUUACCAGGCUAUUUCAGGAGCUGCUUGCCUGUGGCUAGUUGGCUCUGUUGGAUGGAGCAGUGAGUUAAUGAGGCCAAGGGCAGGAGGCUGACUUUCUGCAAAAGCCAGCUAGCUUUAUACGUUUGCCAGCUAGCUUUAUACAUUUCCAUGGCCAUGGAUUCCACCACUAAGCUAGACCAUGCAGCUCACACCUAGGUGCUUAAUUGCUGUCAGGGUCUCAAGUUUACACUCUGAAGAUUUCACAGAAUUCUUAGCCAAUACGCAGAUAUGCUAUUUUGUUGGAGGCUCAACCAAUGGUCUAGCCUAGCAGUAAGAUGUUAAUUCAAUUACACGUUUAUUCAUUCUGUCAGUCAACAAAUACUUGAGUGCAUACACUGCUGUUCUGUAAAGAUAUUGUGCCAGGUGCUUUGUAUGGCAGUAAAUACGAAGAAAGAAAGACAUAAAACUAAAGAAACAGAAAAUUCAACACAGGAGAGAGGCAAAGAGAAUACCCAGGUUGAUAAGCAUGGAAGUUCCGAGAUGACAACUGACAAUUAUGUGGCAAUACUAAGGGAAAAAAAAAGGAUUCCUGAUUAGAAAGAUAGGACAAGGCCGGGCACAGUGGCUCACCCCUGUAAUCCCAGAACUUGGGGAGGCCAAGGUGGUUGGAUCACCUAAGGUCAAGAGUUCAAGACCAC
rnacentral:lncRNA from 10 species